rnacentral:pre_miRNA from 8 species
GCGGCGCUGCUCUCAGGUGCUCUGGCUGCUUGGGUUCCUGGCAUGCUGAUUUGUGACUUAAGAUUAAAAUCACAUUGCCAGGGAUUACCACGCAACCACGACCUUGGCUGCUGCUCCAGAA